ACGAACGCUGGCGGCGUGCUUCACACCUGCCAGUCGCACGGAAAGGCCCUGCUUUUGUGGGGUGCUCGAGUGGCGAACGGGUGAGUAACACGUGAGUAACCUGCCCUUGACUUUGGGAUAACUUCAGGAAACUGGGGCUAAUACCGGAUAGGAGCUCCUGCUGCAUGGUGGGGGUUGGAAAGUUUCGGCGGUUGGGGAUGGACUCGCGGCUUAUCAGCUUGUUGGUGGGGUAGUGGCUUACCAAGGCUUUGACGGGUAGCCGGCCUGAGAGGGUGACCGGCCACAUUGGGACUGAGAUACGGCCCAGACUCCUACGGGAGGCAGCAGUGGGGAAUAUUGCACAAUGGGCGGAAGCCUGAUGCAGCAACGCCGCGUGCGGGAUGACGGCCUUCGGGUUGUAAACCGCUUUCGCCUGUGACGAAGCGUGAGUGACGGUAAUGGGUAAAGAAGCACCGGCUAACUACGUG
rnacentral:rRNA from 1 species